GAUGAAGAACGUAGCGAAAUGCGAUAAGUAAUGUGAAUUGCAGAAUUCAGUGAAUCAUCGAAUCUUUGAACGCACAUUGCGCCCGCUGGUAUUCCGGCGGGCAUGCCUGUUCGAGCGUCAUUUCAACCCUCAAGCUCUCCGGAGUUUGGUGUUGGGGCGCCUGGGGCUUUUCGACCUCAGGGCCCUCAAGUCCAUCGGCGGGACCGCCAGGACACUGAGCGCAGUAGUAUUAUUUCGCUCGGUAGGAUCUUCCACGGCGGGUCGAUCUGGCCGCUAAACCCCCCAAUUCUCACCAAAGGUUGACCUCGGAUCAGGUAGGAAUACCCGCUGAACUUAAGCAUAUCAAUAAGCGGAGA
rnacentral:misc_RNA from 1 species